rnacentral:rRNA from 1 species
GACGAACGCUGGCGGCGCGCCUAACACAUGCAAGUCGAACGAGCGAGAGAGAGCUUGCUUUCUCGAGCGAGUGGCGAACGGGUGAGUAACGCGUGAGGAACCUGCCUCAAAGAGGGGGACAACAGUUGGAAACGACUGCUAAUACCGCAUAAGCCCACGGCUCGGCAUCGAGCAGGGGGAAAAGGAGCAAUCCGCUUUGAGUUGGCCUCGCGUCCGAUUAGCUAGUUGGUGAGGUAACGGCCCACCAAGGCGACGAUCGGUAGCCGGACUGAGAGGUUGAACGGCCACAUUGGGAAUGAGACACGGCCCAGACUCCUACGGGAGGCAGCAGUGGGGAAUAUUGCACAAUGGGGGAAACCCUGAUGCAGCGACGCCGCGUGGAGGAAGAAGGUCUUCGGAUUGUAAACUCCUGUUGUUGGGGAAGAUAAUGACGGUACCCAACAAGGAAGUGACGGCUAACUACGUG